UCCUUCCUUCCUUCCUUCCUUGAAGCUUUGAGAGGGGUUCUGGUCCCAGUCUCCAGCAGUCUGUAUUCUUCUUGUGGAAACAAUAUCCAUAAGAUUCAUUUGUGACUUUUGCUUUUUCCUCUUCAAUUCUAGAAAUCAUACCUUCUACAAUAGCUUGUGAUUUUCUUGGUUUUCUCCGGGUGCACCGGUUUUUUCCCCUCUAAUCUAAAAAAAACUAUGCAUAUUUGGUUACAUGAAGCUUGUACAUCAUGCUUGUGUAAGUAUGUUUUUCUGGGAUUGUUCUCUAUGGCGCCUUGAUUGUCAGGAUGUCCCCAUUCUGCACCCAUUCAUUCAGGGAAUGAAUGAAUGAUUUGUUCAUGGUGGUGGUUUGACCUGGGGGAGGUCCACAUAAUUUUUUCCAUGUUGACAGGAUUGCAACACUCAACGCUAUUGUUGCAUGUUUUUAACUGUGCUAUCUUUUAUCAAAGUUCCAUACUGGGUUGAAACUGCUUCCAGUGUUGCUGCUUGCAUGAUGGGUGGGGUAGGUCAUUGGGGAUGGAGGAGGGGUCGGCAUCAGUCAUGUGGAAGUGGUGGGGGGUUUUGUUGCUGUUCACUCACCUCUGGUCCAAUUGUCUCAUGCUAGUAAAAUGCUAUUAUGUCUGAAAGAUGGUUAGCUCCUUGUUGCAACACGUCAGGGGUCAAAGCCUGGAUGCCCUGUCUGUCCGUUUGCAGGUUUCCUAGGUACUGUAGUUCACUCCCCUAGUUCAAAAAGUAUCUGUGAUAGAUUGAGUAUUGAAUCCUUUCUUCUGUGCGCACACACACACAUAACAUGAAUGUAGGCACAAUAUCUUUUUUAUGCAUGUUUCAAUAUAUUUGGAUGUGUUUAGCUUAAUGUAUGUUUUUUUGAUGUAUUUGUAUGUAUGUGUAUGCAGGUAAGCGUAAUGAUGUAGUUCACAGAAAUAUGUUUUCUGCUUUAUCUGUCUUUGUUGUUCCCAUCGUCGCUGUUAUUUCCUUGAUAACUCUUGUGUCAGCUAAUAUCCAGCUAACAUCAUAACUACAUCCUCUCAAUGUUUUUUGUUUUUUUCAGACUCCAGAUCUUUCUACCCAGUGUUCCUGUGUUUGUCUCUCUUUUCUGUCCUCUCCAACCCCAGCCAGUCGAGGCAGACCGCUGCCCGUCCUGAGCCUGGUUCUGCCAGAGUUUUGUCCUGGUAAAAAGGGUUUUUCUCUCCACUGUCGCCCCGUGCUUGCUCAGGACGGGGGAUUGCAUUAAAGUGAAGCUUUGAUGCAAUCUGCUGGUUUCCUCCCCUCCGUAGAAUCGCCACCUUAACGUGGUGGAGGGGUUUGAGUUACCCCCAUGAUCCUGAGCUCUGAGUUGCCUGGGACUUUGACCUUUGGCGUGGCCACCCAUGGCAAUGUGCCUUCAGAAUAGGGGUGUGGGGUCACACCAAGAGCGAUUCAAAUACUUGGAUGGAGUAAAGCUGUAGAGGUGAACAACAUCUGAAGUCAGUCCCCUCUUUGAAGCAAACCUGGCGAGAGAGCCUUAAAGCAACAGUAACCCCCUUCCACAUGGAUCUACCACAACCAGGAAGGGACAUUCAGUAAGGAUUCGGAGACGCCUGAUAAGGUGACAAGUUACUCCUGAUCUAAUCCGGCUUCUGAAGACUUGCUCUUCAUCCACCCUCGUUGGUGCUACGGCCAGCUGUUGGGUUCCCUUGGAGUCCAGAUAUUCCUUGUCACCCGCCUUUCAUUUUGCUGAUGUUGCUAAAGUUAAUUUGGCCUCCUUAUAGUUUAGUUGUAUUUAUGUUAUUCCAAACUACACAACUGCAAUAUAUGUUAUUAAUAAAGCAUAAUUUCUUAAAUAAAGCUUAUUUAAAUUG